GCAUCAGUAGUGUCUGGGAAACGCCGCCUUCGAAUUAUACAGGUUCGAAAAUUCAGGCAGAGGUUGGGGUUCGACUCCCCGCUGGUGCA